AUAAUGGCCGCCUUCGAAUCCUGAGACAGGGUAACAGACUAUUAUUAUUAUUAUAUUAUUAUUAUUACUAAAUAUAGGAACCCUGAGACAAGGUAACACAGUAUUAUUAUAUUAUUAUAUUAUUAUUAUUAUUACUUAACAUAGGGACCCUGAGACAAGGUAACACAGUAUUAUUAUAUUAUUAUAUUAUUAUUAUUAUUAUUAUAUUAUUAUUAUUAUAUUAUUAUUAUUACUAAAUAUAGGAACCCUGAGACAAGGUAACACAGUAUUAUUAUAUUAUUAUAUUAUUAUUAUUAUUACUUAAUAUAGGGACCCUGAGACAAGGUAACAGACUAUUAUUAUAUUAUUAUAUUAUUAUUAUUAUAUUAUUAUUAUUAUAUUAUUAUUAUUACUAAAUAUAGGAACCCUGAGACAAGCUAACACAGUAUUAUUAUAUUAUUAUUAUUAUUACUAAAUAUAGGAACCCUUAGACAGGGUAACAGACUAUUAUUAUUAUUAUUAUAGUGUUAUUAUAAUUACUUAAUAUAGGGACCCUGAGACAAGGUAACAGACUAUUAUUAUAUUAUUAUUAUUACUAAAUAUAGGAACCCUGAGACAAGGUAACACAGUAUUAUUAUAUUAUUAUUAUUAUUAUAUUAUUAUUAUUAUUAUAUUAUUAUUAUUACUAAAUAUAGGAACCCUGAGACAAGCUAACACAGUAUUAUUAUAUUAUUAUNNNNNNNNNNNNNNNNNNNNNNNNNNNNNNNNNNNNNNNNNNNNNNNNNNNNNNNNNNNNNNNNNNNNNNNNNNNNNNNNNNNNNNNNNNNNNNNNNNNNGACAAGCUAACACAGUAUUAUUAUUAGAUUAUUAUUAUUAUUAUUACUUAAUAUAGGGACCCUGAGACAGGGUAAUAGGCAGUAUUAUUAUUAUUAUAUUAUAUAAUUAUUAUAUUAUUAUUAUUAUUACUUAAUAUAGGGACCCUGAGACAAGCUAACACAGUAUUAUUAUUAUUAUUAUAUUAUUAUUAUUAUUAUUACUUAAUAUAGGGACCCUGAGACAAGCUAACACAGUAUUAUUAUAUUAUUAUAUUAUUAUUAUUAGUAUAUUAUUAUUAUUAUAUUAUUAUUAUUACUAAAUAUAGGAACCCUGAGACAAGCUAACACAGUAUUAUUAUAUUAUUAUUAUUAUUACUAAAUAUAGGAACCCUUAGACAGGGUAACAGACUAUUAUUAUUAUUAUUAUAGUGUUAUUAUAAUUACUUAAUAUAGGGACCCUGAGACAAGGUAACAGACUAUUAUUAUAUUAUUAUUAUUACUAAAUAUAGGAACCCUGAGACAAGGUAACACAGUAUUAUUAUAUUAUUAUUAUUAUUAUUAUUAUAUUAUUAUUAUUAUAUUAUUAUUAUUACUAAAUAUAGGAACCCUGAGACAAGCUAACACAGUAUUAUUAUAUUAUUAUUAUUAUUAUUACUAAAUAUAGGAACCCUUAGACAGGGUAACAGACUAUUAUUAUUAUUAUUAUAGUGUUAUUAUAAUUACUUAAUAUAGGGACCCUGAGACAAGGUAAUAGACAGUAUUAUUAUAUCAUUAUUAUAUUAUUAUUAUUAUUAUUACUUAAUAUAGGAACCCUGAGACAGGGUAACAGACUAUUAUUAUUAUUAUAUUAUUAUUAUUAUAUUAUUAUUAUAUUAUUAUUAUUACUAAAUAUAGGAACCCUGAGACAAGCUAACACAGUAUUAUUAUAUUAUUAUAUUAUUAUUAUUAUUAUUAUUAUUAUAUUAUUAUUAUUACUUAAUAUAGGGACCCUGAGACAAGGUAACAGACUAUUAUUAUUAUUAUAUUAUUAUUAUAUUAUUAUUAUUACUAAAUAUAGGAACCCUGAGACAAGCUAACACAGUAUUAUUAUAUUAUUAUAUUAUUAUUAUUAUUAUUAUUAUUAUUAUUAUUAUAUUAUUAUUACUUAAUAUAGGGACCCUGAGACAGGGUAAUAGACAGUAUUAUUAUUAUAUUAUUAUUAUAUUAUUACUUAAUAUAGGGACCCUGAGACAACCUAACACAGUAUUAUUAUAUUAUUAUUAUAUUAUUAUUAUUACUUAAUAUAGGGACCCUGAGACAACCUAACACAGUAUUAUUAUAUUAUUAUAUUAUUAUUAUUAUUAUUAUUACUGAAUAUAGGGACCCUGAGACAAGCUAACACAGUAUUAUUAUAUUAUUAUUAUAUUAUUAUUAGAUUAUUAUUAUUAUUAUUAUUACUUAAUAUAGGGACCCUGAGACAGGGUAAUAGACAGUAUUAUUAUUAUAUUAUUAUUAUUAUAUUAUUACUUAAUAUAGGGACCCUGAGACAAGCUAACACAGUAUUAUUAUUAGAUUAUUAUUAUUAUUAUUACUUAAUAUAGGGACCCUGAGACAGGGUAAUAGGCAGUAUUAUUAUUAUUAUAUUAUAUAAUUAUUAUAUUAUUAUUAUUAUUACUUAAUAUAGGGACCCUGAGACAAGCUAACACAGUAUUAUUAUUAUUAUUAUAUUAUUAUUAUUAUUAUUACUUAAUAUAGGGACCCUGAGACAAGCUAACACAGUAUUAUUAUAUUAUUAUAUUAUUAUUAUUACUUAAUAUAGGACCCUGGAGACAAGCUAACAUACAGUAUUAUUAUAUUAUUAUUAUUACAUAUUAUUAUAUAUUACUUAAUAUAGGGACUCUGAGACAGGGUAAUGGCUGUAUUAUUAUUAUAUUAUUAUUAAUAUAUUAUUAUUAUAUUAUUAUUAUUACUAAAUAUAGGAACCCCUGAGACAAGCUUAACACAGUAUUAUUAUAUUAUUAUACAUAUAUUAUUAUUAUUAUUAUUAUUAUAUUAUUAUUAUUACUUAAUAUAGGGACCCUGAGACAACCUAACACAGUAUUAUUAUAUUAUUAUAUUAUUAUUAUUAUUAUUAUUACUGAAUAUAGGGACCCUGAGACAAGCUAACACAGUAUUAUUAUAUUAUUAUUAUUAUAUUAUUAUUAGAUUAUUAUUAUUAUUAUUACUUAAUAUAGGGACCCUGAGACAGGGUAAUAGACAGUAUUAUUAUUAUAUUAUUAUUAUUAUAUUAUUACUUAAUAUAGGGACCCUGAGACAACCUAAAUACAGUAUUGUAUUUAUAUUAUUAUUAUAUUAUUAUUAUUACUUAAUAUAGGGACCCUGAGACAACCUAACACAGUAUUAUUAUAUUAUUAUAUUAUUAUUAUUAUUAUUAUUAUUAUUAUUACUGAAUAUAGGGACCCUGAGACAAGCUAACACAGUAUUAUUAUAUUAUUAUUAGAUUAUUAUUAUUAUUACUUAAUAUAGGGACCCUGAGACAGGGUAAUAGACAGUAUUAUUAUUAUUAUUAUUAUUAUUACUUAAUAUAGGGACCCUGAGACAAGCUAACACAGUAUUAUUAUAUUAUUAUUAUAUUAUUAUUAUUACUUAAUAUGGGGACCCUGAGACAAGCUAACACAGUAUUAUUAUAUUAUUAUUAGAUUAUUAUUAUUACUUAAUAUAGGGACCCUGAGACAAGCUAACACAGUAUUAUUAUAUUAUUAUUAGAUUAUUAUUAUUAUUAUUAUUACUUAAUAUAGGGACCCUGAGACAGGGUAAUAGACAUUAUUAUUAUUAUUAUUAUUAUUAUUAUAUUAUUAUUAUUAUUAUUACUUAAUAUAGGGACCCUGAGACAAGCUAACACGGUAUUAUAAUAUUAUUAUUAUAUUAUUAUUAUUACUUAAUAUAGGGACCCUGAGACAAGCUAACACAGUAUUAUUAUAUUAUUAUUAGAUUAUUAUUAUUACUUAAUAUAGGGACCCUGAGACAAGCUAACACAGUAUUAUUAUAUUAUUAUUAGAUUAUUAUUAUUAUUAUUAUUACUUAAUAUAGGGACCCUGAGACAAGCUAACACAGUAUUAUUAUAUUAUUAUUAGAUUAUUAUUAUUACUUAAUAUAGGGACCCUGAGACAAGCUAACACAGUAUUAUUAUAUUAUUAUUAGAUUAUUAUUAUUAUUAUUAUUAUUAUUACUUAAUAUAGGGACCCUGAGACAAGCUAACACAGUAUUAUUAUAUUAUUAUUAUUAUAUUAUUAUUAUUACUUAAUAUAGGGACCCUGAGACAAGCUAACACAGUAUUAUUAUAUUAUUAUUAUUAUAUUAUUAUUAUUAUUAUUAUUACUUAAUAUAGGGACCCUGAGACAAGCUAACACAGUAUUAUUAUAUUAUUAUUAUUAUUAUUAUUAUUAUUACUUAAUAUAGGGACCCUGAGACAAGCUAACACAGUAUUAUUAUAUUAUUACUUAAUAUAGGGAUCCUGAGACAAGCUAACACAGUAUUAUUAUAUUAUUAUUAUUAUUACUAAAUAUAGGAACCCUGAGACAGGGUAACAGACAGUAUUAUUAUUAUUAUUAUUAUUAUUACUUAAUAUAGGGACCCUGAGACAGGGUAAUAGACAGUAUUAUUAUUAUUAUUAUUAUUAUUAUUAUUAUUAUUACUUAAUAUAGGGAUCCUGAGACAGGGUAACAGACAGUAUUAUUAUUAUUAUUAUUAUUAUUAUUAUUAUUAUUACUUAAUAUAGGGACCCUGAGACAAGCUAACACAGUAUUAUUAUAUUAUUAUAUUAUUAUAUUAUUAUUAUUACUUAAUAUAGGGACCCUGAGACAAGCUAACACAGUAUUAUUAUAUUAUUAUUAUUAUUUUAUUAUAAUUAUUAUUAUUACUUAAUAUAGGGACCCUGAGACAAGCUAACACAGUAUUAUUAUAUUAUUAUUAUUAUUAUUACUUAAUAUAGGGAUCCCGAGACAAGCUAACACAGUAUUUUUAUAUUAUUAUUAUAUUAUUAUUAUUAUUAUUAUUACUUAAUAUAGGGAUCCUGAGACAAGCUAACACAGUAUUAUUAUAUUAUUAUUAUUACUUAAUAUAGGGAUCCUGAGACAAGGUAACAGACAGUAUUAUUAUAUUAUUAUUAUUAUUAUUAUUAUUAUUACUUAAUAUAGGGAUCCUGAGACAGAGUAAUAGACAGUAUUAUUAUUAUUAUUAUUAUAUUAUUAUUAUUAUUACUUAAUAUAGGGACCCUGAGACAAGGUAACAGACAGUAUUAUUAUUAUUAUAGUAUUAUUAUUACUAAAUAUAGGAACCCUGAGACAGGGUAAUAGACAGUAUUAUUACAUUAUUAUUAUUAUUAUUAUUAUUAUUACUUAAUAUAUGGACCCUGAGACAGUAUUAUUAUUAUUAUUAUUAUUAUUAUUAUUAUUAUUAUUACUUAAUAUAGGGAUCCUGAGACAAGGUAACAGACAGUAUUAUAUUAUUAUUAUUAUUAUUAUUAUUAUUAUAUUAUUAUUAUUAUUAUUAUUACUUAAUAUAGGGACCCUGAGACAAGGUAAAACAGUAUUAUUAUAUUAUUAUUAUUAUUAUUAUUAUUAUUAUUACUUAAUAUAGGGACCCUGAGACAAGGCAACAGACAGUAUUAUUAUUACUUAAUAUAGGGAUCCUGAGACAAGCUAACACAGUAUUAUUAUUAUAUUAUUAUUAUUAUUAUUAUUAUUAUUAUAUUCUUCUUCUUCUUCUUCUUCUUCUUCUUCUUAUUAUUAUUAUUAUUAUUAUUAUUAUUAUUACUUAAUAUAGGGACCCUGAGACAAGGCAACAGACAGUAUUAUUAUUAUUAUUAUAUUAUUAUUAUUAUUACUUAAUAUAGGGAUCCUGAGACAAGCUAACACAGUAUUAUUAUUAUUAUAUUAUUAUUAUUAUUAUAUUCUUCUUCUUCUUCUUCUUCUUCUUAUUAUUAUUAUUAUUAUUAUUAUUAUUAUUACUUAAUAUAGGGACCCUGAGACAAGGUAACAGACAGUAUUAUUAUAUUAUUAUUAUAUUAUUAUUAUUAUUAUUAUUAUUACUUAAUAUAGGACCCUGAGACAAGGUAACAGACAGUAUUAUAUUAUUAUUAUUAUUAUUAUUAUUAUUACUUAAUAUAGGAACCCUGAGACAAGGUAAUAGACAGUAUUAUUAUAUUAUUAUUAUUAUUAUAUUAUUAUUACUUAAUAUAGGGACCCUGAGACAAAGUAAUAGAGGUAUUAUUAUAUUUUUAUUAUUAUUAUUACUUAAUAUAUGGAUCCUGAGACAAGGUAACCGACAGUAUUAUUAUAUUAUUAUUAUUAUUAUUAUUAUUGUUAUUAUUAUUAUUACUUAAUAUAGGGAUCCUGAGACAAGGUAAUAGGCAGUAUUAUUAUUAUUAUUAUUAUAAUUACUUAAUAUAGGGACCCUGAGACAAGAUAACAGACAGUAUUAUUAUAGUAUUAUUAUUAUAUUAUUAUUACUUAAUAUAGGGAUCCUGAGACAAGGUAAUAGUAUUAAUAAUAAUAAUAAUAAUAAUAAUAAUAUUAUUAUUAUUAUUAUUAUUACUUAAUAUAGGGAUCCUGAGACAGGGUAAUAGACAGUAUUAUUAUAAUUAUUAUUAUUAUUAUUACUUAAUAUAUGGAUCACGAGACAAGGUAAUAGACAGUAUUAUUAUUAUAUUAUUAUUAUUAUUAUUACUUAAUAUAGGGAUCCUGAAACAGGGUAAUAGACAGUAUUUUUAUAAUUAUUAUUACUUAAUAUAGGGAUCCUAAGACAAGGUAAUAGACAGUGUUAUUAUAUUAUUAUUAUAUUAUUAUUAUUACUUAAAAUAGGCAUCCUGAGUCAAGGUAAUAGACAGUUUUAUAUUAUUAUUGUUAUUGUAUUAUUAUUAUUACUUAAUAUAGGGAUCCUAAGACAGGGUAAUAGACAUUAUUAUUAUUAUUAUUAUUAUUAUUAUUAUUAUUAUCAUUAUUACUAACUAUAGGGAUCCUGAGAGAAGAUAACAUACAGUAUUAUUAUUAUUACUUAUUAUAGGGAUCCUGAGACAAGGUAAUAGACAGUAUUAUAUUAUUAUUAUUAUUAUUAUUAUUAUUAUUAUUAUAACUACUUAAUAUAGGGAUCCUGAAACAAGGUAAUAGACAGUAUUACAUUAAUAUUAUUAUAAUUACUUAUUAUAGGGAUACUUAUAUAAUAUAUUAUAAUUAUUAUUACUUUAAUAUGAAUGCUGAGACAAGGUAAUAGUAUUAUUAUUAUUAUUAUUAUUAUAGUGUUAUUAUAAUUACUUAAUAUAGGAAUCCUGAGGCAAGGUAAUAGACAAUAUUAUUAUUAGUAUUAUUAUUAGUACUUAAUAUAGGGAUCCUGAGACAAGGUAAUACCUUAUUAUUAUGAUAGGGAUCCUGGAACAGGGUAAUACACAGUAUUACCUUAUUACUACUCAUUAAUAAUAUUACUUGUAUUAGGGAUCCAGAAACAAGGUUAUAGACAGUAUUACAUUAAGAUGAAGUGUUUUUGGUGUUUAGAAUUUCCCUUUAAUGUUAGUCCCUAAACUGAACCCUAACUGUAACCCAACAUUUCCAAACUCCUCGUGCUGCAGCAUACUCCCUAAUCCUAAACCUUGCUGUAACCUUAAACUGACUUCCUUUACAGGACAUCUCCGAGCAACUCUCCUCGGUCAGUGUGCUUGCAGGUAUAGGGAGAAGAGAUCAGGUAACCAACCAGAGCACAAAGCAGGAACUCUUAUUGGUGUUUUAAUGGGCUUGUCUGUGCUUCAAUCACACGAGUGGCAAAUAAUUUCAUUGAUAAAAAAAUAACAAAACAAGAAUACAGCUAUUCAACAAGCAAAUUGAAGCAGCGCUCUUACUUCUGUUAGCUUGCACAACAACUUCAUUCAUUCAUUUUCAUGAAUUGAGCAAUUUUGGAUUGGUAACGUCAUGUCUUAUAAUUCCUUUAGUCAGGGGUUUACGGAAUGCGCUCAGCAUAAUUUGAAAAGCAGUCGAAUGGCACGGAUUAGUUACAUUCUGGUCCCUGUAUAGGCUGCCAUUUUGCAGCACACAUGGGAAGUUCAGUGAUUGGCAUUUUUAAUUUUUUUUUAAUAUAUUUCAAUACAUUUUAUGCAUUUCCUUCAUAUUACACCAAGUUGACCUAUUAAGGAUUUUAAACUUAUGUUAAAAGAUAAACUGCCCAAACCACUCUAAUGAUAUUAUUGGAUUUACUAGAGCAGCAUCUUCAUUAGCAGUAAGAUCAUUUUAAUUGGCUCUGAUAAACUGCUCUUAUUGGCUUUAAAUAAUAAGCUUUGUUGAGCAGGAAGCACUACUCUGGCUUUUAAAUCAGUUUGCUUACCUGUGUCAAUCGUUGCUAUGUUCCUCUGUGUUGUAUAGUGCAUGGAGGAAUUGGCUGGCGGGUUCACAUAUUGCAAAUUUCAUGUCAAAAUAGCUGCGCUCCACCCAUUAUACUAACCAUCCUAUAAUAAUAUUCUGACUGCAUCAUACCAUUCUAACUCCCCAGCUUAUAAUAAUAUUCUGACUGCAUAAUAACAUCAUAACCUAUAGUAAUUGUAACGGAGCUCCCUGUACCCUGACUGGGUACCUCCGCCAAGGACCACUUCCUAGCUGGAACAGGGGACAAACUGCAGCACUUCUGCCCACAGUCGCCGUAGCUUUGCUGGGGCCCUGGAACCACUCUUUACUGGAGCCGAAUGGUUAAGACUAAUUGCAGUCAAAACUAUGACUUCCAGGAAAUUCCUGAUCUGAUCUGGGUGACUUUUGGAUAUGUUGGUCACCCAGAUCAGGGCUAUUGGGGGAUGUAACUUUUGUGGGGUUUUUAUGUAUUUUCUGUGCUUGGAGAUAAUUAGAUUUUUACAGUUCCUGAUCCAAUUAUCUCCCAGGCACAGAGUAGGGAUUAUCUGUAUGGGAGUGUCCAGGACAUGAGAGCCAAUGUGAUUGUGCAUUUAUUUCUACUGUGGUUUAGUCACAGGUCCAGGGGGGAGUGCCCUUUGCAUGGGGACCUGCAUGUAAGGCCAGUUGUGGCUACCAUUAAACUGAGAUUUGUUUCACCCUUCAUGAAGUCUAGGCUCAUGUUUGGGGGAUUGGAGAGCUAUAUUCACUCUGGGGAUUGCUAUAAUCAUUAUACUCCCUUGGAUCACAACACUUACUCUUAUAAGAGCAGCCUGCUUCGCUCUGUGGACUAGUAGAGGUCUACCCACUGGGAGCUGGAUUCUGGUCUUGGGUCCAGAGUGGGUGGAGGACAGCAAGACCCCAACCAAGCUGCGGCGGUUUGUGGGGUUUACGGUUUUCCAUUGCAGUGCUUAUGGUGCUCGCAAGUACUAGGAAGCAGCGAUUGAUGGAGGUACCCGGUCGGGGUGCCAGGCAGUCUGUCACAAUAGCAUUCUAACUCCCCGACCUAUAGUAACAUUCUGAUUGCAUUAUAACAUUCUAACUAUUGUCCCUGAGUCUGAAAAAACACAUGCUGUGUUGCCGGGGCAUCACAGCAUGGCGCGCCAGGGAGCAGUGCUGGAAGAUGAUGAAGAGUCCAGCUGCUUCUCCGCCUCCAUUCUCCCUCAGCUGCCCUACUACUGUUGUGGGUGCCGAGGUGGCCAGCCGGCCUGCUUUUGGCUUACCCUCUGCAUGCGAUCUGCAUACCCCCUGGAGUACACGUACCACUUGUGGAGAAACUAGGUGGUGGACUAUACAAAGAAAUAGUUUUCAUUCCUGUGUAGUUUGGUGCUGAUUUACUGCGUUCUAGAAUAUGUCCAAUUUUCUACUUAAUGCUAUACAUAUAUGUGAAAGGUCAGUAUGCACUGCCCUCUUCUGGUGGUUUGUUAACGCUGUCCAGUGUGGUUUCUUUUUCUAUGGUGAUAUGGUGAUCUUUUGACAGAUGCAGGUCUCACAAAUGCAAGGUUAAUCCAUCUGGAGUGGUCUCUUGAGGAGGGGUGGGGGGGGGGAGGAAGAAGCUUGCUGAACAUGUUGUCUGUCAGCUGGUGUGUUUGUUACCAGGCUCAAAGAGCAAUUAAAUGGUGUAGAGACUGCACGGUAAGAGUCUGUAAUGGAUGUUACACACACAGUUCGGCCUUUUCCAAUGCAUUCCUUGCUACAAAUAAAGUCUCACGUUACAAACCACAGCUGCUGAUUUACCCAGGAAGAGCUGUCAGCAAGGUUAACCCUUUAACAUGUGCAUUUAGCCAUUUAGUUAUACAAAAAUAGAUUCUUUAUAUCCCUCAAAGUUAUAAAGAAAACACAAGUGCCCUUCUUUAAUCAGGCUCAGUCUAUUAGUGCACGUAAAAACAAGAAUAAGGAAGAAAAAAAUUUGCUCUGUCUUGCGGUAUUGGAAGUAUUGGUAGUUGCCCUUCCUCAGCUGGCUAAGAUCAACAAUAAUGAUGAUCUCAGCCGGUCCAAUGCUUCCCCAUAGUGUACUUGCGUGGCGAUUGCUGUGCUGCGUCAGUCUCAAUACAUCUCUAAGGGGAGUGUCUAUUGUUUACAUGCAGAGCAUGGAGGCGCCAGAGGUUAGUCCUGCAAUCUUUGUAGGACCUCAUCCAGGAAGUACCUCUAGUGGCUUCAAUGUAUUGCCAACCCCCAAAUGGAUUAUUUACUAAAAACCAAACUAUAGAAAAUUAAAUGAAAAUUGCAAAUUUGUUGAUAAAAUGGCCAGAUUGCCACUAUGCCCUUGUUUACAUUUCAGUAAAUUUACAUAAACCAUGUUCGUGAUUACACGUUGUUAUAUAUCCAAACAUGUCACUUGAGAUAAGUUACUGUUACGGCUUGGGAAAUCAGUGAAGGAUGACCCAGCAAAAUUCCUCUUUUGUCUGCACGGAAAAGAAAAUAUUCUACUUGUAUAAACUUAGCGAAGGCGUGCAUGCUCGCUCUGUAAACACUUUCACUGAUUAAAUAAAUGAUUUACCAUUGACCUGAUUUGUAAUUUUGUUUUGUUUUUUUCUUUCCAGGUGGCAUUGGUGGUAUUUAAACAGUUAUGGCGUUUGCAGCACCGAAGAACACAGAUGGAGCCAAGUUACAAACCAAAAUGAGCACAUGGACUCCAUUAAACCACCAGCUCAUGAAUGACAAGGUGACUGCGGAA
rnacentral:lncRNA from 1 species